UACGGAGGAUCCGAGCGUUAUCCGGAUUUAUUGGGUUUAAAGGGUGCGUAGGUGGAUUGGUAAGUCAGUGGUGAAAGUUUGCAGCUUAACUGUAAAAUUGCCGUUGAAACUGCCGGUCUUGAGUGCAAAUGAGGUAGGCGGAAUGCGUCGUGUAGCGGUGAAAUGCUUAGAUAUGACGCAGAACUCCGAUUGCGAAGGCAGCUUACUGGGAUGCAACUGACGCUGAGGCACGAAAGCGUGGGUAUCAAACAGGAUUAGAUACCCG
rnacentral:rRNA from 1 species